rnacentral:rRNA from 1 species
AAACCAACAGGGAUUGCCUUAGUAGCGGCGAGUGAAGCGGCAAUAGCUCAAAUUUGAAAUCUGGCACUUUCAGUGUCCGAGUUGUAAUUUGAAGAAGGUAUCUUUGGGUCUAGCUCUUGUCUAUGUUUCUUGGAACAGAACGUCACAGAGGGUGAGAAUCCCGUGCGAUGAGAUGUCUAGAUCUAUGUAAAGUUCCUUCGAAGAGUCGAGUUGUUUGGGAAUGCAGCUCUAAGUGGGUGGUAAAUUCCAUCUAAAGCUAAAUAUUGGCGAGAGACCGAUAGCGAACAAGUACAGUGAUGGAAAGAUGAAAAGAACUUUGAAAAGAGAGUGAAAAAGUACGUGAAAUUGUUGAAAGGGAAGGGCUUGAGAUCAGACUUGGUAUUUUGUAUGUUACUCUCUCGGGGGUGGCCUCUACAGUUUACCGGGCCAGCAUCAGUUUGAGCGGUAGGAGAAUUGCGUAGGAAUGUGGCUCGGCCUCGGUCGAGUGUUAUAGCCUUCGUCGAUACUGCCAGCUUAGACUGAGGACUGCGGCUUCCGCCUAGGAUGUUGGCAUAAUGAUCUUAAGUCGC